CGGCCGGAGCUGCUCUGCGGGGCCGUGGCGCUCGGCUGCGCGCUGCUCCUCGCCCUCAAGUUCACCUGCAGUCGAGCAAAAGAUGUGAUAAUACCAGCAAAGCCACCUGUCAGCUUUUUCUCCUUGAGGUCUCCAGUCCUUGACCUCUUCCAGGGGCAGCUGGAUUAUGCAGAGUACGUUCGACGGGAUUCAGAGGUGGUACUGCUCUUCUUCUAUGCCCCUUGGUGUGGACAGUCCAUCGCUGCCAGGGCAGAAAUUGAGCAAGCAGCAAGUCGGCUUUCAGAUCAGGUGUUGUUUGUGGCAAUUAACUGUUGGUGGAACCAGGGGAAAUGCAGAAAACAGAAACACUUCUUUUAUUUUCCUGUAAUAUAUCUGUAUCAUCGGAGUUUUGGACCAAUCGAAUACAAAGGCCCCAUGAGUGCUGUUUACAUUGAGAAGUUUGUCCGCCGGGUGAUGAAACCACUUCUCUACAUCCCAUCUCAAUCAGAAUUACUAGAUUUUCUCUCAAACUACGAGCCUGGAGUACUCGGGUACUUUGAGUUCAGUGGCUCACCCCAGCCUCCUGGUUAUUUGACCUUCUUCACCUCAGCAUUACAUUCAUUAAAGAAAGGUCUUCCCCAGGGAGGUCCUGAACUACACAGCUGAGAACAUCUGUAAGUGGGCCUUAGAAAACCAGGAGACGCUCUUUCGGUGGCUGCGGCCACACGGAGGCAAGAGUCUCCUGCUGAAUAACGAGCUGAAGAAAGGACCAGCGCUGUUUCUGUUCAUACCUUUUAAUCCCCUGGCCGAAAGUCAUCCUUUA
rnacentral:lncRNA from 1 species